rnacentral:rRNA from 1 species
UACGUAGGGUGCGAGCGUUAAUCGGAAUUACUGGGCGUAAAGCGUGCGCAGGCGGUUUUGUAAGUCAGAUGUGAAAUCCCCGGGCUCAACCUGGGAACUGCGUUUGAAACUACAAGGCUAGAGUGUAGCAGAGGGGGGUAGAAUUCCACGUGUAGCAGUGAAAUGCGUAGAGAUGUGGAGGAACACCGAUGGCGAAGGCAGCCCCCUGGGUUAACACUGACGCUCAGGCACGAAAGCGUGGGGAGCAAACAGG